rnacentral:rRNA from 1 species
AGUUCGGAUUGCAGUCUGCAACUCGACUGCAUGAAGCCGGAAUCGCUAGUAAUCGCGGAUCAGAAUGCCGCGGUGAAUACGUUCCCGGGUCUUGUACACACCGCCCGUCACACCAUGGGAGUCGGAAAUGCCCGAAGCCGGUGGCCUAACCGAUAAGGGAGGAGCCGUCGAAGGCAGGUCUGAUGACUGGGGUGAAGUCGUAACAAGGUACC